ensembl:lncRNA
GAUUAUGUCUGCAGAGCUCCCACUGUACAAUAUAAAUCUUAAGAGGUGCUGUUAGUGUGACAAGCGAUUUCAAUAACUACGUCAGUCCCUUGUUCUUACCUAGAGAACACAAAGUGAAAAGAAUCUUCCCUAACACCUGGUACUGUGCUGAGCACUGAGCAUUGAAAAGAAAUAAAGACAGACAGAAUAUCUGCCUUUUUGGAUAUCAAAUCUGGUGUGGAAAAUGGAUAAUAACCAAGUAAACUACUAAGUACACAAUUACAAUUGGUGACUCCUGAUCAAACAGCUAACCCAGUCACUACCGCCUAAGAGUCCAGCAUACCCUUACUUUGGACCACUUCUCUC